rnacentral:rRNA from 1 species
GACGAACGCUGGCGGCGUGCCUAACACAUGCAAGUCGAACGGAAAGGCCACUUUCGGGGGGCUCUCGAGUGGCGAACGGGUGAGUAACACGUGCGUAACUAGCCCAUGACUUUGACAUAACUACAUUAAACUGGGGCGAAUACCGGAUGGGAGCUCCUGUUGAAGGCAGGGGGCUGUAAUGAUCCGGCGGUUUGUUAUGGAUUCGCGACGUAUCCGCUUGUUGUUGGGGAGUUGGCUUUCCAAGGCCUUGCCGCGUAGCCGGCCUGAGAGGGUGAUCUGCCACCUUGACACUGAGAUACGGCAGAAGUACCUACGGUAGCAAGAAGUGCGAAAUAUUGCCCAAUGGAUGCCGCCUUGAUGCAGCAACGCCGUGUGCCGGAUGACGCUCUUCGGGUUGUAGAACGAUUUCGCUCGUAACGAAGCUUUGUGUGACGGUAGUGGGUAAAGAAGCCCCGGCUAACUACGUG